rnacentral:rRNA from 1 species
CCUACGGGGGGCAGCAGUAGGGAAUAUUGGGCAAUGGAGGAAAGCCUGAAGCAGCAACGCCGCGUGGAGGAUGAAGGUUUUCGGAUUGUAAACUCCUGUUGUUAGAGAAGAAAAUGACGGUAUCUAACGAAUAAGCACCGGCUAACUCCGUGCCAGCAGCCGCGGUAAUACGGAGGGUGCAAGCGUUACUCGGAAUCACGGGGCGUAAAGAGCGCGUAGGCGGGAUAGCAAGUCAGAUGUGAAAUCCUAUGGCUUAACCAUAGAACUGCAUUUGAAACUGAUAGUCUAGAGUAUGGGAGAGGUAGGUGGAAUUCUUGGUGUAGCGGUGAAAUGCGUAGAGAUCAAGAGGAAUACUCAUUGCGAAGGCGACCUGCUAGAACAUAACUGACGCUGAUGCGCGAAAGCGUGGGGAGCAAACAGGAUUAGAUACCCUUGUAGUC